UGUGAUACCAUCGUCUAUUUUCCUGCUUCGAUUUCUAGAAGGUUUCGGCCUACAGUUAAAAGCCAUUUAUCUGGCGCAUUUCAUCAACACAAAUUUCCUUUAAAAAAUAAAGGGGGGCGCCUGGGUGGCUCAGCUGGUUAAGCGUCC